UACGGAGGGGGCUAGCGUUGUUCGGAAUUACUGGGCGUAAAGCGCGCGUAGGCGGGCUGGAAAGUUGGGGGUGAAAUCACGGGGCUCAACCCCGGAACUGCCUCCAAAACUAUCAGCCUUGGGUUCGAGAGAGGUGAGUGGAAUUCCUAGUGUAGAGGUGAAAUUCGUAGAUAUUCGGAGGAACACCAGUGGCGAAGGCGGCUCACUGGCUCGAUACUGACGCUGAGGUGCGAAAGUGUGGGGAGCAAACAGG
rnacentral:misc_RNA from 1 species